rnacentral:rRNA from 1 species
AUGGAGCGGCUCUUCGGGGCAGGGCGCGGCCGGCCGACGCUGAGGGAGCGGAACAGGGGCAGGGACGAGGACGGCUCCCUGUCGCCGCCGCCGCCGCGCCAGGCGUGCUGCUUCCCCUUCUCGCCCAAGAAGGCCCCGCAGAGGGCCCCGGCGGCGAGGAGCAGGAAGGACCGCGUCGGAGGAGCGCCGGGCGACGACGUCCUCGGCAUCGACGCCGGCGAGUGGGGCGACGAGAACAGGAGGAUGGUCACGGAGCUCAAGGAGCAGCAGCGCAAGCUCAAGAAGGCGCUCGAGGAGCAGGUCAAAGUCAGCAGGGAGACGGCCAAGAUGGCGCGGUGGGUCAAGCAGGCCUCCGCGCGCAUGACGCACACGGACGCCAUUGACGACCUGCUCAGCGACAUCGACGACGACGACGACGAGCUCAAGUGA